rnacentral:rRNA from 1 species
UACGUAGGGUGCAAGCGUUGUCCGGAAUUAUUGGGCGUAAAGAGCUCGUAGGCGGUCUGUUGCGUCGGCUGUGAAACCCCGGGGCUUAACUCCGGGCCUGCAGUCGAUACGGGCAGACUAGAGUACGGUAGGGGAGACUGGAAUUCCUGGUGUAGCGGUGAAAUGCGCAGAUAUCAGGAGGAACACCGGUGGCGAAGGCGGGUCUCUGGGCCGAAACUGACGCUGAGGAGCGAAAGCGUGGGGAGCAAACAGGAUUAGAAACCCUAGUAGUCC